CUGAGAGUCAUGGACACGGAUGUCCUCUGUUUACCAACAGAUCAGGUAAAACACAGGCAGUAGCAGUGCAUGCUUCCCCACACUGAGAUAAACAAUAUGCUCCAAGCCCAGCUUGGUUGGAUCAUCUGUAAGGUUGAGAGGUAAGUUCAACCUUCAUGUCCAUUGAGUCCUUGAUGCCU
rnacentral:sRNA from 1 species